UGAACAACUAGUCUUGCAUCAAAUAUAUAUUACAUAUUCAUUCGAUGUUUAUCACCAGAAGUUAGUUCUACCUUUGCAGUACCUCUGCUCUACAUACCUCCUCGCUGGUUAAAGAAUGGAAUAUAAAUCUCAUCAAGUUGGUGUAAAAAUUUAGUUUAAUAAAUUAAGAAUUUGUAAACGUUAUCAAAAUUUUGAGUGGAGCAAUUGUUUUUCUGGUUUAGCAUGAGUAUGAAUCUGAUAUCAAUUGUAUGUACAAAGAUAGUUUACUUCUUAAAGAACCUAUCAGUAAACUAACUUAUUAUAAAACAGUUUUUAAUGGGAAUAAAAACAAAUUUUCAAAAGAUUUCAAUUAGCUAUUUGUAUAUUCAAACACUUUAUUUACUGAGAGAAGAGACUAUAGAUUCAA
rnacentral:lncRNA from 1 species